AUGUUCCAGAUAUUCAUAAUUGCUCAAGACGUUGAGGAAGUAUCAGAAAAAAACAUACUAUAUAAGGAAAAACAAUUGUGUAGUGUUGGGCUGAACCUUAAAGCUACUUUGCUAGCCACAAACACUUUCCUAUGUGCUAAGAUCCUGUUAGCUUACAAUGUGAUAUUACCUCCAACAGUAGCACCAACCAUGGCUAUCGCAAACAGCAGCGGCAUGUUAGGAAGAGAGUACCCCGGGUCACAUUCUUCUGCCAAGCAACUGGGUGGCAUCGCAAGCAUGACAGCACUGCUGGUCACCAAUGCUUUCCCGAAACAAGAAGAUACAGCUUCCUGCAAAGAGAUAUGA
rnacentral:rRNA from 1 species